ensembl:lncRNA
AGUGAUACCAGCUGAAAACCGAAGUUUACAUUCCAUCUUCAAAAUGAGAUACUGCAAGAAUGCCAAAAAUCCAGCACAGCCUUCUCAAGUAACAAUCCAAUCCUUGAGGGGACAUUGGGAUUUUGAGUUGUGGAAUUUUCCACCCAUUUAUCCUUUCAUUUUCAGUCUUCUUUGCCUCAAAGUGUCAGUUGGCUCCUCUGAGUCACAGCUGUACAAAUCACAGGACUAUUUUUUUAAUUGGCACCAGGCAUAUACAUUAUUCAUCUAUUUGGUUUCAUCUGAAGCAAAUCAAAUAAAGAAGCACUUUUAUUUUCCAAUGAAAUAUUCAAAGCUGCUUUUUCCCCACAAGAGACUAGGCAGAAAACUCCAUCCAUGAUCUAUAUAAUCUCAGUCAUUUAUUUCUGCACCAUCAUGCCUGCAUGCCUCUGUCUCCAAGGUGAGAUCUCUGUUGACUGAUUAACUGGCUCUGGAAAAGGAAAGAUUUCAAUCUUGGACUCUGAGUUUUCUGUAACUCAGUGAGUCACUAUCUUUACUAGGAAUAAGAAUAUCAGAUAUGAAUGAAAGCUGCAAAGAAGCCAGAAAGAUAGAGCCCAGAGUCUCCCAAGAUUGUCUCUCUCAUUGCAUACACAAAGGAGACUCUGAAAUGGGACACUGGAUUUACAAAAAUAAGAAGAAAUAAUAGCUUCUUCCAUAAUAGAAAUUAGGCUAAGAAGAGAAACUGAAGGCAUAUGAUGCUGUAAUUGAACAGAAACAAUAAUAAUAAAGACAGUUUGUAAUGUGGAACACUUGGAAAGAAAUUAAUAAAUGAUGGAUAGAAAUCUUUCUGAGACUGAAAACUGAGUAAUUCUCUUACAGGACCAAAACAUUUCCUUCAGGGAACCACUAUGGCUAGGAAAUUGAGACAAGAUUUCCUACUCACCUGCCCACAAUGUGCUC